AUCCAGUAGUCCAAGAUGGCGGAGGUGAGCGGGCUGAGGAGCAGAAAUCUCUUCGAGUCCAACUGCAAACGCCGAGUUGAAGACUCGACUGGAGUGGAGGAUAUCCCUGUUUUUCGUCAUAAGCAGAGGCCUUCGUUAACCAGGCCGGAUGACCUGGAUGAUGAAUUUUUGCCCACGAAGAUGACUUCAGACUGGACCACUGAUGCCAACAUCAGCUCCUCGUCAGAUGGAAAGUUUCAGGAAGAGGCUGAAGCAGCAGCAGCAGCAGCAGAAGAAGAGGCCCGGCCCAUUCAGAUCCUCCUGGCAAAUGAGGACGAGCACAGUUUUGAGCUGGAUGCUGUGGCGCUGGAAAAGAUUCUGCUGCAGGAUCACGUCAAAGACCUGGACGUGGUGGUUGUGUCUGUGGCUGGAGCCUUUCGCAAGGGGAAGUCCUUCCUGCUGGACUUCAUGCUCCGCUACAUGCACAAUCAGCAACAAAAUGAGGACUGGAUGGGAGGCGACGACGAGCCUCUGACAGGCUUCACCUGGAGAGGAGGCUGUGAGAGGGAAACCACAGGAAUCCAAGUCUGGAGCGAAGUCUUUGUGGUCGACAAGCCAGACGGCAGUCAGGUGGCUGUUCUCUUGGUAGACACCCAGGGAGCAUUUGACAGCCAGUCCACCAUCAAGGACUGCGCCACAGUUUUCGCUCUCAGCACCAUGACUAGCUCGGUGCAGGUGUACAAUCUCUCCCAGAAUGUUCAGGAGGAUGACCUUCAGCAUUUGCAGCUCUUUACAGAAUACGGCCGACUUGCAAUGGAAGAAAUCUAUUCGAAACCUUUUCAGUCGCUGAUGUUUCUUAUCCGGGACUGGAGUUACCCCUACGAACACGACUAUGGACUUGACGGAGGAAAUGCAUUUUUAGAAAAAAGACUGCAGGUCAAACAGAACCAGCACGAGGAGCUGCAGAAUGUGAGGAAGCACAUUCACUCCUGCUUCUCCAACAUCGGCUGCUUCCUGUUGCCUCAUCCGGGCCUCAAGGUGUCGACCAACCCGUACUUUGACGGCAGACUUAGAGAUAUUGACGGGGAUUUUAAACGGGAGCUGUCUCGACUGGUUCCUCUCCUGCUGGCGCCUGAGCAGCUGGUGGUGAAGGAAAUCGGAGGGAGCAAAGUCACCUGCAGAGAUCUGGUGGAGUACUUCAAGGCUUACAUCAAGAUCUACCAGGGGGAGGAGCUUCCUCAUCCAAAGUCCAUGUUACAGGCAACAGCCGAAGCCAACAACCUGACUGCAGUUGCAGGAGCCAAAGACAUGUACAGCAAAAGCAUGGAGCAGGUCUGUGGAGGAGACAAGCCCUACAUCGCCCCCUCUGACCUGGAGCGAUGCCACGGCGAGUUCCGCGAGCACUCUGUGCGCUACUUCCGCUCGGUGAAGAAGAUGGGCGGGGAAGAGUUCUGCCAGCGCUAUCAGAACCAGCUGGAAGCGGAGCUGGACGAAGCGUUCGCCAACUUCUGCAAACACAACGAUGGAAAAAACAUCUUCUAUGCCGCUCGCACGCCAGCGACACUCUUCGCCGUGAUGUUUGUCACCUACGUGCUGUCCGGCAUCACGGGCUUCAUCGGGCUCAGCACUCUGGCGGCGCUGGCUAACCUGGUGAUGGGGCUAGCACUGCUGUCGCUCUGCACCUGGGCUUACGUGAAGUACUCCGGAGAAUUCCGCGAGGUUGGAACGAUGAUCGACUUGGUGGCUGAGACGCUCUGGGAACAGAAGUCGAUCAGGAAGGUGUUGUCCAAACUUCUGGAGCCGGUCCGAGGCCGCCUGGCUCUGCCCCUGUCCCUGCUCCCGUCGCUCCCGGGCCUGCGAGCGUUCUCUCCUCUCAACAACAACUACAAGAAAAGAAACUGAGCCACUCUUUCACUUCCUGCCACUAACACUUUUCUAAACAAACCACAAAACUUUUUACAUUUCAAAUUGAUCCCCAAAAAUCUCAGGAUCUCAAGAACCGCCGGCCCAAACAAACCUUGCUUCUCAAGCCACUCAGUGAACGGUAUAUGGAAGACAACGUCCGGCAGACAGUGGUCAACUCGCUGAAGGCCAGUUUGACGGAACAAAGCUCGCAGAAUACAAAGUUAAAGACUCACUGACCUUCCAUCUUCAUCUUCCUCCUGCUCCACGUGUGAACAACUAGAACUGUGGAAAUAGUUCAACACCAAAGCUGACUCCUCCCUUUAUACCCCCCUCAUCAUCCUCCUCAGUGGCAUGUUCUGCUUCUGUAUCGCCCGGUGGUGCCUCGGAGUAGAAACUCUUUGAGCUCGGCGUCAGCUUUUUUUGGCCAAAACUUUAAAGAGUUUUAUUGUUUUUUUUCCUCUCUCCUGCGUGCCACAUUCACAUGUAGUUCAGGGAUAAUUAUUGAUCGUAGAAGCAAACUUUGUGAGCACUUAAUUGUUUGUCUGCUUUUUCUUUAUGGCUUGUUUCUUCUCCGCACAAAUAAGUCAGACUUCUGAUAACUUGCGGUGCUCAUCAGUUUCUGGUGUUCUUUUUUUUUCCCCCAACAAUGUGGAGAUGUCACACCGAGCAAGCUCAGGACCUCCCCUGUGUGUUUUGCUUAGUGGAACUUCUCAGCCGAUGUUUCUGGUUUAUUUCAGUGGUUAUAUACGAUGUAGCAUGGUGUACGCGGAACUAUUCUAAUAGACCUGAUGUACAAAGCUUGGAUCACUGUAAACGUUUUCUCCUCCUCAUCAUCAGUCUUAUGGUCCUAGCCUGAAUCAAACAGCACUUUCAACUUUUGAAAUAUUCACUCUUAAAGUUUGAAUUAAUUCCUGCUUUCACAAGCAUGCAUUUCAACAGGGCAACCGACAGACUUGCUGUUAUCUUGAAUAUGCGGGCCUAAUGCUUAGCUAGCGCCUGGCGUCAACGCUGAGGGCAGACAUGUUGAUUUGUGACCGUGACCGUAGAGUAGUUCUCUGCAUGUUUAGGAUCUACGGUGUCGGCGCGGAUCGGUUAAGGUAGUCAGAUUAGUUUUCGCACUGGGUCUCUUGCUUUUGCGCGCUUCCGGGUUUUUAAAAAAUACUUUUUUGGGGCGAAACCUGUCGGUGUUGAUGUAAUUUUAUAAGAUCAAAUAACCCCUCAGCUCCAUCUAUAGUUCACUGAGCAGAUAUUUCUAUUGAUAUGAGAGAAGUUUAGCGGUUGCUUUUCUGGUCGAGACUGUUUUUAGUGACUGGAACACUGCAUAUUGGAUUUACUUCGUCUUCACUUCAAGCAGAAAGAAUUUGGCUCACAUCUAUUCCAUGUGAUUAAGUUAGAAGAAUCAUAUUUAUCUCUAUAGUCACGUCUCUGUCGUCCCAAGAGCGAGAUAUUUUUAAGGAUAUUUCACCUCCCCUGCAUCGAUUUCAUCUCUGCGUGCUUUACUCCUGUGUCGUCUCUGUGUGUGUGUGUGUGCAAACGCUACCAAUCAGGCUUGUAAGUCGUGUUCAAUAUUUAAAUAAACUUUGUAUACAUUUUUUUAGACAACCAGUUGAUGGCGCUGCUUUGUUUUCAUCACUAUUUCACAGUUGUACAGUAAGAAAGGAGUCUUGAUUGUCGAGCUGGUUGGAGACGUCUGUCUACCUUUUAAGAAUAUCCCUGGUAAUUUAUUUUUGAAUAAAAUGUUUACCUUCAAAAU